rnacentral:misc_RNA from 1 species
AGAAGCUCAUGAUCUGAAUUCAUUUGAUGGGAGCAGGUUUGAUUCUGUUGCCAAGCAUGUUGAUAAUAAUGCAGGGAGUGCUGGGGAGGAUUUCACUGUUCAAGAUGACUCGCUGCAUAUCAUUUGAGUUCCAAGUUGAUAAGGUUGACUUUUGUGAUCCAGUUGAUGCCGGGGCCGCUUUGCAAGUGAAUGGGGUUAAGGUUGACGACAGGGAAUGUUUGCCUGGUAAUAGUGAUGUAUCCAAUUAUGUAGUGGAUCAGGUGUACUCAUUGGAUCAUUGUGAUGCCAAAGCUUGGGAUACUCGUUACACAGUUCCAACAAAAGGUGUUGAUCUCAUGGAAGAAAUUUUUGGACAAGGAACAUCCAGCGACUAGGUAAGAAAUAACAGUGGUAAAGGCUGGUACUCCUAAGGUCCUUAAGCAUGCCUUGAUGUACAACCUGUGUGGCCUUUGUAAGUGUCUAGAUCCUGGGAAUUUUCUAGCUAAGCACACCAUGUAAGAAAUUUUCUUUCAGUGGAUAGGUGUUUUUAACUUUUUUUUUUAAGUAAGGGGAAGAAGGAAAAAGAGAUGAUUUUGGUUUUUGGUUUUGUUCAUAUA